AUUGAACGCUGGCGGCAGGCCUAACACAUGCAAGUUGAAUGGUAACAGGAAACAGCUUGCUGUUUCGCUGACGAGUGGCGGACGGGUGAGUAAUGUCUGGGAAACUGCCUGAUGGAGGGGGAUAACUACUGGAAACGGUAGCUAAUACCGCAUAACGUCGCAAGACCAAAGAGGGGGACCUUCGGGCCUCUUGCCAUCAGAUGUGCCCAGAUGGGAUUAGCUAGUAGGUGGGGUAACGGCUCACCUAGGCGACGAUCCCUAGCUGGUCUGAGAGGAUGACCAGCCCCACUAGAGCUGAGACAAGGUCCAGACUCCUACGGGAGGCAGCGCUGGGGAAUAUUGUACAAUGGGCGCAAUCCUGAUGCAGCCAUGCCGCGUGUAUGAAAGAGGUCUUCGGGUUUUAAAGUACUUUCAGCGGGGAGGAAGGGAGUAAAGUUAAUAGCUUUACUCAUUGACGUUACCCGAAGAAGAAGCACCGGCUAACUCCGUG
rnacentral:rRNA from 1 species